rnacentral:rRNA from 1 species
UGCGUAGGCUGAAUAGUCAGUCAGUGGUGAAAUCCUACAGCUUAACUGUAGAACUGCCAUUGAUACUGCUAUUCUUGAGUUCAGUUGAGGUAGGCGGAAUGUGUAGUGUAGCGGUGAAAUGCUUAGAUAUUACACAGAACACCGAUUGCGAAGGCAGCUUACUAAACUGACACUGACGCUGAGGCACGAAAGCGUGGGGAGCGAACAGGAUUAGAUACCCUGGUAGUCC